AUUGAACGCUGGCGGCAGGCCUAACACAUGCAAGUCGAGCGAGCGGCGGACGGGUGCGUAAUGUCUGGGAACCUGCCUGAUGGCGGGGGAUAACUACUGGAAACGGUAGCUAAUACCGCAUACCAUCAGAUGUGCCCAGUUGGGAUUAGCUAGUAGGUGGGGUAACGGCUCACCUAGGCGACGAUCCCUAGCCGGUCUGCGAGGGUGACCAGCCACACUGGAACUGAGACACGGCCCAGACUCCUACGGGAGGCAGCAGUGGGGAAUAUUGGACAAUGGACGCAAGCCUGAUGCAGCAAUGCCGCGUGAGUGAAGAAGGCCUUCGGGUUGUAAAGCACUUUCAGCGGGGAGGCGUUACCCGCAGAGGAAGCACCGGCUAACUCCGUGCCAGCAGCCGCGGUAAUUC
rnacentral:rRNA from 1 species